rnacentral:rRNA from 1 species
AUUGAACGCUGGCGGCAGGCUUAACACAUGCAAGUCGAGCGGGGGAAGGUAGCUUGCUACCGGACCUAGCGGCGGACGGGUGAGUAAUGCUUAGGAAUCUGCCUAUUAGUGGGGGACAACAUCUCGAAAGGGAUGCUAAUACCGCAUACGUCCUACGGGAGAAAGCAGGGGAUCUUCGGACCUUGCGCUAAUAGAUGAGCAUAAGUCGGAUUAGCUAGUUGGUGGGGUAAAGGCCUACCUAGGCGACGAUCUGUAGCGGGUCUGAGAGGAUGAUCCGCCACACUGGGACUGAGACACGGCCCAGACUCCUACGGGAGGCAGCAGUGGGGAAUAUUGGACAAUGGGGGGAACCCUGAUCCAGCCAUGCCGCGUGUGUGAAGAAGGCCUUAUGGUUGUAAAGCACUUUAAGCGAGGAGGAGGCUCUUUUGGUUAAUACCCAAGAUGAGUGGACGUUACUCGCAGAAUAAGCACCGGCUAACUCUGUGCCAGCCGCCGCGGUAA